UACGUAGGGUGCAAGCGUUGUCCGGAUUCAUUGGGCGUAAAGAGCUCGUAGGCGGUUCGGUAAGUCAGGUGUGAAACUCCAGGCUCAACUUGGAGACGCCACCUGAUACUGUCGUGACUAGAGUCCGGUAGGGGAGCAUGGAAUUCCUGGUGUAGCGGUGAAAUGCGCAGAUAUCAGGAGGAACACCAGCGGCGAAGGCGGUGCUCUGGGCCGGAACUGACGCUGAGGAGCGAAAGCGUGGGGAGCGAACAGG
rnacentral:rRNA from 1 species